rnacentral:lncRNA from 1 species
GACCAUCUCCAGCCGUCCUCUUUUCCUAGUGGUCUUCUUUCUUCACUGGCUCACAUGGCUUUUUCUCAACAGACAAUAGAUUAGCUGCAAAUAGUGCCCAUCUCAUGUUUUCUUUUCAGGUAUUUAUAGCUCAUUUCAUUUUCCUGACUUGGGCACAGCCUCGGUGUCUGAUGGGCUCGUCGUCAUGGUGACCCCCUGUACCUGUGAGAAACAGUCCGGGGAAGCCCAGUCGAGGCUCUCGGGAGCUCCCUUUAUCAGGUCACAGGAACGCCCAUCUCUUCCUACCUUACUCAGAGCCCUAGGUUCUCACUGUCUUAAUUAUGCUUCAGUUAAAAAAUAAUCAAUAGGUUUUUAUGUUUAAGGAAAGAUACUGGAAUUUAUUAACACUAUUUCUCCGUAUCUAUUGAGAUAAUCGUGUGGUCUUCCUCCUUUGUUAAUGCAGAGAAUUUUAUUAAAUGGAUUUCUACGUUCCCAAGUGGCUUCAACCGGCGGGUUCACCCUGGGUCAGCGCUCCGUCUGCACACGCCACCACGCGGGCUGCCAUCAGCAGGGGGCGCUGGCUCCCCGCACGCCUGACCGCACCUGUGUCCGCUGCCUUCUCACACCCGGGUCAGAGGACUUCACUCAUCGCCCUGACACCAAACACCUUUCACCCUCUUGCCUGCCAGCGAAGCUGCCCUCCAGGUGCCAGGCCCUCAGUUCCCACGACUGCCUGUUCGCUGCAGGCGUGGCUCUCCAGUUUCCCUCAGUGCGUGGAGCUUUGCUUCCACGCUGGCCUGCUGUGUCCGGAAGUCUCGGUGCUGCCGCGUCCCCACUGGACUCCCCAGGACCACACAGCACUUGCCAGCAGCGCCUUGUGGGGCCGGCAGCAGCUCUGCCCUGUCCCCCAUAGGGAGCUGCAUGUCCCCACAUGACAUUUCCCCCUUCUUUUCUCUUCUCCUUUUAUGUUUUCUCACAUGCCCAAAAUUACACAUAACUCUUACCAUCGUAAGCUGUGCGAGCUCAGUGUCAUUAAAGCACAUUCAGUGUCGUGCACCCGCCACCACCGCCCGGCUCCAGAACGUUGUCUUCCCAAACGGAAACUGUGCUCCCUACACGCUAACGCCCCAGCCCCUGGUGCCCCCGCUGUACUUUGAGUCUGACCACUCUAGGGACCUCGUAUAGGUGGGUCAUACAGUGUUUGUGGUCUGUGACUGGCCGACAAUUCAGCACAAUGCCCUGAAGGUUCACCCACAUUGUGACAUUUGUCAGAACGAGCUUCCUUUUUUAAGGCUAAAUAAUGUCCCACCGUGCGUACACCUCACAUUCGGCUUCGGUGGACCCCUGGGUGGCUGCCACGUUUUGGCUCUUGUGCACAAUGCUGCCGUGGAC